AGCCCCUUCCCCAGUUUCCCCUCUGCCCCGACUAAAAAAAUCCCCUCUGCGCCGGCCGGCGCUCGACGGCCCGAUUCAGCGCCUUCCGCCGGAGACCGCCCGCCGCCGACGAGGGGCACGCCGGUGAUCUCCCCCAGCCCGCCUGCCCCUCUUUCAUCUCCGUUCUACUCCUUCUCUCUCGGCCCCCUCGAGCUCGCCUCGAUCCAUGGCCUCUCCUUAAACCUAGCUCCAGUCACGGCCACGACCGGCUUCGCAGCUCCCGGCCGCCAUCGCCUGCGCCUUCCCCCGUGUCUCCCUCACCUCGCCUGUGCAGCACCGUGGUUGUACAUCGCCAGCGCCAUCAGCUACAGCCCCGCUCUAAUCCACCUGCAAGCCAUGGACAGCGGCCUGGCUGCUCACUCGUCGCUGGCCUACCAGUACCUCCACCAACAUCUCAUCCAUCUAGAUCAGGGGCGCUUUAAUUUCAGCAGAUUUUCUUCUUCUUUGCAACAUGGUAAUUUUCCGGGAUAGAGUCUUGAUUUUAAUUAUUGCAGAAUGGCAAUCUGCUUUAUGUUUGCUUUAUCAUCUCAGGAUAAUCCAGAUGUUUUCCUAUGCCUUGAGGAGUUGUUGAUGGAUGAUAUACAUAGGCUACCAGGUGGUAGCUCCAAUGUUGCAACUGAGGUCAGCAAUGGGUGCUUCUCCUGGGAUGGCUCACUUGAGAUACCAACAUUGAAGGAUCUGAAUUUUCAAGCUCGGCAAGGGAUGCGUGUUGCACUUUGUGGGACGGUCGGCUCUGGAAAAUCAAGUUUGAUCACUUGAAUUCUUGGUAUGGUGCCAAAGCUAUUAGGAGAGGCCAAGACUUGCGGAACAAUGGCAUAUGUCAGCCACAAGGCAUGGAUACAGAGCGGCAAAAUUCAGGAUAACAUACUGCUCGGCAAGGAGAUGGAGAGUGAGGAGUAUGGCAGGGUCCUUGAGUGGUAUUCGCUAAAGAAAUACUUGGAGAUCAAAAUCAUUGGAGAGUGAGGCUGCACUCUUAGUGGCAGGCAGAAACAAAGGAUUCAGAUAGCCCGAGCAUUGUGAUGUAUGCUGACAACUAUUUUGUUCCAUGAUCCGUUCAACGCAGUUGAUGCUCAUACAGGAUCCCAAUUUUCCAAGAAUCUUUGCUGAACUCCCUUGGUGUUAGUUGUUCUUGAACCGAAGAAACGUGCGGUCUGGAAUUGACAUCAUUCAGUUCCUUGAUGAAAACAAAGUUGCAUGUCCUUUUAGUCUAAACGUAAUAUUAUGCCUUGGAGCAUAUGAUGGGGGUCAAAUCGCAGUUAUGAACUGCAUUGCACGUGCAUGAAGGCGAAUGAUUUUUCUGGAUGCCAUUGCCAUCUGAUCGAUGGUUUCGCCGCGGUCGUCGGGAGAAAUAUCAUCGACGGUAGGGGAAAAGCGGGUAGGCUGAGGCGGGCACCCACACCAAGCGGCCGACCCACGAAGGCGGCCAUGCAGCUCCGCCUCGUGCCUCUCUCCCCAUCUUUAUGUUCGUGUCAAACCCAGCGCAAGGUAGAGGCAGAAGAGGAGGCCGGGAAGAGAAGCUGCAAGGUAGGAUGCUUUUGAUCUGAAGGCAACAGUUGGACGAUCUGCUCACAAAGACACACCUCUAUUUUGAAUUUCAACUUGAAAAGAUUGAUCAGGUCACGAAUGUAGCUUGGCUAUGUCUCUCACUGGCGCUGAACAAUGUUUUGCUUAUUUUCAUCUUGGUUGCUGACAUUGGUGGUGUUAUCUGUCAGAGAAAGUUGUUGAAGUGGAAGAAGGUGAACCUGUAGAAGAGCUGAAAAAAGGACGUGGUAGAGACAAGGAAGCAAAGCCUAAACAGUAUAAUGAUAUGAGUUCAGAUUUCAUCUGUUUUCUUCCCUUCUUCAUCUAUAUGAUAGCAUAGCUGUCUUCUAGAUUAUGCGAAUGUCUUUGGUUGUCAUAUACUGCGGAUGCAUUGUAGUUUGAUGUGUCGUGUGUAUUAACUGCUCAACAGAGUUUCCUUGAAUAAUUAUACAGAUACUGUUCUAUCUCUUAUUGUUUCAUAAAAUUCUAAUUAACCGCUCAACCUGUGACAGUACUACCUCGCCCAGCCGCGCAUCCAAGACGCGACGCUUGCUGGAAAGCUGGUCAAGUAGGUCCUCGACUGCGAGAUUUAGCUGAUUGAUCCUGUGCAUUAGCCUAAUUGUUACAAUAAACGAACUUACAACAAUGAUGCUUUCUAUAUUGAAUUCUUAUAUUCGACCUCACCAUUGCUUAGUUUCCUUUCCUGAUGUCAAGACACAAAGAAUUUGAGAUUCAAUUUAUCUUUUUUAGUUUUCA